ACUGCCACGAAAACACCUUCCACUAUGGCCACUAUUGUUAUCAUUACGAGAAGACGGUUAAAACCUUUGACGAUGCCGAGAAGUUCUGUCUUGCCUGGGGAGGCCGCCUGGCUAGCGUCCACUCCAAGAAAGAGGCCCAAUUUGUGUAUGAUCACUCGCAAACCUUACAAUCUGCUUUCGUGGGACUCAAGAAGGAGGACGACGACUACGAGUGGAGUGACGGAACAACUUACGACUACAAGGUCUGGCAAGAUGACACCACGGGGGACUGCGCAUUCCCAAAUUCUGUUGGGAAGAUCGGCGGCAGCCCCUGCACAACGAAGCGGCCAUUUGUCUGCAAAACAGCCAAGCGUGGAGGGCCUCGACAGCUGCCACCAUUAGCCAGCCAACAUGGCUGGACUGACAAAUGCGGCUGGUGGCUGGACAACCCCUCGGACGACUUCUGCUACCUGUUCAACUUUCAGCCCACCAAGACCUGGCAGGAGGCGCAAGCCGACUGCAAAGGCCGCCAAGGGAACCUGCUCAGCAUCGCCGACUCGCGCGAGCAGGGCUUCGUAC